UAGCCGUAAACGAUACUCGCUAGGUGUCGGCCACGGUGCGACCGUUGUCGGUGCCGUAGGGAAGCCGUGAAGCGAGCCACCUGGGAAGUACGGCCGCAAGGCUGAAACUUAAAGGAAUUGGCGGGGGGAGCACCACAACGGGUGGAGCUUGCGGUUUAAUUGGAUUCAACGCCGGAAAUCUUACCGGGACCGACAGCAAUAUGAAGGCCAGGCUGAAGACUUUGCCGGAUUAGCUGAGAGGAGGUGCAUGGCGUGUGACUGU
rnacentral:rRNA from 1 species